UACAGAGGUCCCAAGCGUUGUUCGGAUUCACUGGGCGUAAAGGGUGCGUAGGUGGCCUGGUAAGUUUGACGUGAAAUCUCCGGGCUUAACCCGGAAACUGCGUUGAAUACUAUUUGGGCUGGAGGUUUGGAGGGGGGACUGGAAUUCCCGGUGUAGCGGUGAAAUGCGCAGAUAUCGGGAGGAACACCGGUGGCGAAGGCGGUUCUCUGGGCCUUACCUGACGCUGAGGAGCGAAAGUGUGGGGAGCGAACAGG
rnacentral:rRNA from 1 species